UGGGGAAUAUUGCACAAUGGGCGCAAGCCUGAUGCAGCGACGCCGCGUGGGGGAUGACGGCCUUCGGGUUGUAAACUCCUUUCGCUAGGGACGAAGCUUUUUGUGACGGUACCUAGAUAAGAAGCACCGGCUAACUACGUGCCAGCAGCCGCGGUAAUACGUAGGGUGCGAGCGUUGUCCGGAAUUACUGGGCGUAAAGGGCUCGUAGGUGGGUUGUCGCGUCGUCUGUGAAAUUCCGGGGCUUAACUCCGGGCGUGCAGGCGAUACGGGCAUAACUUGAGUACUGUAGAGGUAACUGGAAUUCCUGGUGUAGCGGUGAAAUGCGCAGAUAUCAGGAGGAACACCGAUGGCGAAGGCAGGUUACUGGGCAGUUACUGACGCUGAGGAGCGAAAGCAUGGGUAGCGAACAGG
rnacentral:rRNA from 1 species